rnacentral:rRNA from 1 species
CCUACGGGUGGCAGCAGUGAGGAAUAUUGGUCAAUGGGCGCGAGCCUGAACCAGCCAAGUAGCGUGAAGGAUGACGGCCCUACGGGUUGUAAACUGCUUUUGUAAAGGAAUAAAGUCAGGCACGUGUGCCUGUUUGUAUGUACUGUACGAAUAAGGAUCGGCUAACUCCGUGCCAGCAGCCGCGGUAAUACGGAGGAUCCGAGCGUUAUCCGGAUUUAUUGGGUUUAAAGGGAGCGUAGAUGGGUUGUUAAGUUAGUUGUGAAAGCUUGCGGCUCAACUGUAAAAUUGCAAUUGAUACUGGCAGUCUUGAGUACAGUUGAGGUAGGCGGAAUGCGUGGUGUAGCGGUGAAAUGCUUAGAUAUCACGAAGAACACCGAUUGCGAAGGCAGCUUACUAAACUGCCACUGACAUUGAUGCACGAAAGUGUGGGUAGCAAACAGGAUUAGAUACCCCUGUAGUC